UAGAGAGAUAAUUCUCUAUGGCAAAGAUACUAUCUCCAUUGAAGAUGUUAAGUCGUCUUUACCUAGUAAAGAGAACAUUGAUAGUCAUCUAAAUACUAGUGUUUCUGGCUCUAAUAUGGGGGAUGCCCUUGUUGGUAGAGAUAAAGGAAAGAAAAUGGAUAUUUAUGGUGGUAAAUAGAAGAAUAGGUCUAAGUCAAAGUAUAGGAACCUAGUCUAUAAUUACUACCGCAAGAAAGGACAGUUCUAAUGCAAAAAAUAAGCAA
rnacentral:lncRNA from 1 species